CAAGAGCAUAACACAUGGUAAUGAAUCCAUGUUCUAGAGCCACCAACAGAUAUAUACAUUCCAGCGUUCAUUCUUGUUUUUCUUUUCUGUCCCUCGCAAAUUUUCUCAUUGUGCAUUUUUUAUCUGAUAUUACAAAAAUGAUCAGAAUCUUAAUCUAUGAAUAAAUCUUGCAGCUUCAAUAUUGUGGACGGUUGGUUACCCUAGAAGAUAUCUUGACUUGCCCAUAACAUGGAACUCUUGUUAAACUAACAUUUAAAGUACAAUAUCUUGCUACUCCUAUUCAACCUAACAUGUAAGUUAUUUGUCUUAGUGUUUUGAUCAAAUAAUUUGUAUAUAUGGUGUUGUAAGUAUUCCAAAUGAUUGUCACGUCAUUGUUCUUAAAAUGAUCGAGUUGUGGGAUGGUCUUCCUAAAUAUGAUAGGAAAAGAUGUUUGAAUACACCAAUGUAAGUACGAAAAUGUUCAAUAAUUUCAACUUGUGUUAAGUAUUUUGA